GCCUGGUGGUUCCUAGAGUCAGCUCCAAAGUGCUGAACUCUGGGUUUUUAUUAACAGGCGCAUAUUGAUUCUGUAGUUUUAUGCAUGGAAGCUGUCACCAUAGCAGCCUUCCAUAGCCCGGCUACAGAUACAGUU
ensembl:snoRNA